AGUUACCGUGGAGACCUAUAUCAGUCCAUGACGGUGACACCUUGGAGGGCAAGAAAAAGCCACAGCUGAGGACACCUGGCUCACGAAUUCUCAAGAAUACAGCUGCAGGCUCUUGGCCUACUGCAAUAACUGCGAAACAGAGUCUGAAGAAAUGGUUCUCACACCCACAAAACUAGAGGAUGAAAUGUCUCUGCAGAUGAAGACUGUGGAGAAGGAACAGUAGCUGACCGAGAAGGGCAACAGCUUCCUCCAAAAUCUCCAUCUGAUUGAAGGUCCAAUGAGGAUCUUACCAUGUUUUGGAGACGGAUCUUGGCUCAAGUAACCCACCUGCCUCACCCUCCUGAGAAGCUGGAACUACAGUUACAUGUAAAAGAAGCUGGUUACCUUACAUAUUUUAUAGAAAAUUUAGGGGGCGUGAGUGGGGCUCAGGGGCUUGGGGUAUGGCUCAGUGAUGGGGUGCUUGCCUGCCAUAUAUGAGGUCCUAGGCUCAAUCCCUAAGACUGCUAAUAAUAACAGUGAGGAUAAGGAAAGAUUUAAACCAAAAACUCCUUGGGAAAUAUUUAAACAAAGAGCCAAGGUUCAUAUUCUAGCCCUCAUGUGUCUGAAAUGAAUGGAAAAGGUUAGUUAAAAGAAAAAUUAAUUAAUUAAUUUUGUAAUGGGAAUGUUCAGGGGAACUUAAUUUCUUUAACUUAGCCCUUCAUUAAACAUUUUAAAAAGACUUUGAAAAGCAGUCAUUCUUUUUGUUUUGUUAAAAGCUUUUGUUAAAAACUUUUUGUUAAAAACUUGCCUCAGUAUUCCAGCAUAAUGGGAUUACAGUCUUG